CAGAUUGGUGCCUUCAUUUUCCCUUUCAGGUUUCUGGCAGACCGGGAGACCUGGAACGUAGACAAACAGUUCCUGCUGGGUCCAGCCUUCCUAGUCAGUCCUGUGUUGGAACCUAAUGCCAGAAAUGUCACUGCAUAUUUCCCUAAAGCCCAGUGGUAUGAUUAUUACACGGGUGCAGAUAUUAAUUCAACAGGAGAGUGGAGGACCUUGCCAGCCCCUCUUGAGCACAUUAAUCUUCAUGUCCGAGGGGGUUACAUCUUGCCAUGGCAACAACCUGCCCUGAACACCAACUUAAGUCGGAAGAAACCUCUUGGUCUCCUCAUUGCUCUGAACGAGAAUAAAGAAGCAAGAGGAGAGCUGUUCUGGGAUGAUGGGCAGUCAAAGGACACUGUGGCCAAAAACAUUUACCUUUUCAGUGAAUUUUCUGUUACCCAAAACCGUUUGGAUGUAACAAUUUCAAGUCCAAACUACAAGGAUCCCAAUAACCUGGAAUUCCAGGAAAUUAAAAUCUUUGGGACACAGGAAAUCCGCAAUGUUAAAGUGAAACAGAAUGGGGUUCUCCUUCAAAUGUCUCCUCAAGUCAAUUACAAUUCAAACCUGAAGGUUGCUACCAUCACAAAUAUCCAUCUUGUGCUGGGAGAAGCAUAUACAGUUGAGUGGGACAUCUACUCAAAGGACGUGGAAAGGAUAGAUUGCUAUCCAGAUGAGCAUGGUGUUUCUGAGGCAAACUGCACUGCUCGUGGCUGCAUCUGGGAGGUAAUCAUGCUGAAGAUGUUUAUGUAAACUGGAC
rnacentral:lncRNA from 14 species